CCUGUUCACGCGGCGGUGCAGUCGACGCACCGUUGCCACAGGUAGGGAUGUGAUCCCGAAACUCGGGAUUGAACCAGGAA
rnacentral:ncRNA from 1 species